rnacentral:rRNA from 1 species
GGUUCGAUUCCUGGUCUGAUUGAACGCUGGCGGAUAAGUUUUUACACGCUGCGUCGAACGGCAGCACGGACUUCAUCUGGUGGCGAGUGGCGGAAUGGGUGAGUAAUAUCGAACGCCAGUAGCGGGGAUAACUACGCGAAAGCAGCUAAUAUCGCAUACGCCUCCUCGGGGAAAGCGGGGGACCUUCGGGCCUCGCACUAUUAGAGCGGCCGACACGGAUUAGCUAGGCCAGGGGGUAACGGCUCACCAUGACUUGGAUCCCAGCUGGUUUGAGAGGACGACCAGCCACACUGGGACUGAGACACGGCCCAGACUCCUACGGGAGGCAGCAGUGGGGAAUUUUGGAUUAAUGGGGAAACCCGUGAUUCAGCCAUCCCCGCGUGUGCGAUGAAGGCCUGCUGUAAAACACUUUUGGCAGGAGAAACCAGCAACGGAUACACCCGCAACUGACGGCAGUGUACCUAUGAAUAAGCACCGGCUAACUACGCCAGCAGGCCAGUAAUACGGUGGGUGCGUUGUUAAUUUGCACCAUUGGCAAGCGGCAGGCGUCUGAAAGAAAAGGAUGGAAAUCCUAGAGUCAAUUUGAAUCAGAUGCGAAUCAUUUCGAGCGGAGUGGGUGUCAGAGGGAGGUGGAAUUCCGGCGUGUAGCAGUGAAAUGCGUAGAUAUGCGGAGGAACAUCUGAUGCGGCGAAGGCAGCCUGGGACAACACUGACGUCAUGCACGAAAGCGGGCAAAUAUGAUUAGAUACCCUGGUAGCCCAUUCAAAUGAUGUCAACUAGCUGUUGGGGCCUUCGGGCCUUGGUAGCGCAGCUGAUCGCGAAGUUGACCGCUCAGAGUACGGUCGCAAGAUUAAAACUCAAAGAAUCGAUGGGACCGCACGCGGUGAUGAUGUGGACGACCCGAUGUAACGCGAAAAACUUUACCUAAAUUUCUGACAUGCCUGGAAUCCCGGAAGAUUUGGGAGUGCUCGCGUAUUAGGAACCGGAACACAGGUGCUGUAUGGCUGCCGUCAGUCGCCGCAGAUGUGCCGGGUUAAGUCCCGGGCAACGAGCGCAACCCUUGUCAUUAGUUGCUAAUGAAAGGCGACACUCUAGACGAGACCGUUGCGACAAACCGGAGGAAGGUGGGGAUGACGUCAAGUCCUCAUGGCCUUAUGGGUAGGCCGCACACGUCACAAUGGUCGGGCAGAGGGUCGCCAACCCGCGAGGGUUAAUCCAGAAACCGAUCGUAGUCCGGAUCGCAGUCUGCAACCGACCAGGAAGUCGAACGCCAGUAAUCGCGGAUCAGCAUGUCGCGGUAUAGUUGCCCGGGUCUUGUACACACCGCCCGGGUCACCAUGGGCGGGUUUUACCGAAGUGAACAGCCUAACCUGUGCGGAGGGCGAUUACCACGGUAGGAUUCAUGACUAAAGGCGCCAGACAGGGUGACC